rnacentral:rRNA from 1 species
AGUGAACGCUGGCGGUAGGCCUAACACAUGCAAGUCGAACGGCAGCACAGUAAGAGCUUGCUCUUACGGGUGGCGAGUGGCGGACGGGUGAGGAAUACAUCGUAAUCUACUUUUUCGUGGGGGAUAACGUAGGGAAACUUACGCUAAUACCGCAUACGACCUACGGGUGAAAGCAGGGGAUCUUCGGACCUUGCGCGAUUGAAUGAGCCGAUGUCGGAUUAGCUAGUUGGCGGGGUAAAGGCCCACCAAGGCGACGAUCCGUAGCUGGUCUGAGAGGAUGAUCAGCCACACUGGAACUGAGACAGGGUCCAGACUCCUACGGGAGGCAGCAGUGGGGAAUAUUGGACAAUGGGCGCAAGCCUGAUCCAGCCAUACCGCGUGGGUGAAGAAGGCCUUCGGGUUGUAAAGCCCUUUUGUUGGGAAAGAAAAGCAGCAGGUUAAUACCCCGCUGUUCUGACGGUACCCAAAGAAUAAGCACCGGCUAACUUCGUG